AACCUUUGUGUGGUGUGCACUGCAGGUCCUGUGGCCUCUGAAAGUCUUACCUCAGUGACUGCUCAUGGUGCCGACCUCCUGGGUCAAGAGUCGUGUCUUUGCAGGAUCUCAAAGCCUCAGGCCUUGAAGGGGCAGAGUAUGCUUGAAUCAUGAUGAAUAUAAUGAGUUGUUAUUUGUAAUAUGAAACAUGGAAUGAAAACUGUUUGUCUUUGUGGAGAGGAAAUUUCUUUCAACUUGAUGUGUUAUGAAUUCCUCCUAGAAAUGAACCAUCGUUACAAAGAAAAUGGUCAGGAAAAAUGGUUAAAAUGAAUCAGAUCACUAUUUUGUGUAGUGACUCACCAUUGCAGACAA
ensembl:lncRNA